CCCUACCCUCUUGUGGUCUGUCCAUCCCACCUGGGCUGUCUAAGUUCACUCUCACAGCAUGGCUUCCUUGUCAACCUUCCUUGGAUCCUCAGCAGUUCAGGAAUGCUGUUUACCAUCAUUCUGUACCAUUCUUUUCCUUCAUAGGAUUUAUGCAGAUCAUGGAGUCUUCCUGUAGAAGAGCUGCUCAAUGAAGUCCCCCACAAGGACCACUCAGAUACUUGGGAACUGAAAACUCAUCCGGAAAUAGCAUGUCUCUUCUAGAGAACAAACUGUGGUUUUUGCUGGGAGUGGCCCUGCCUUCUGAUUUGCUGCCAACUGAAGGAAACAUGUGUAAGGAGGAGGAGAGUUGGAUUCUCAGCUCUGGACAGAUCUAUAUUUAUGGGAUUCCCUGUGCGGUCCAUCAGCUUACUAACCACAUGGCUCACUAGAUUCUGUACAGCUGUCGAGACGGCAACCCAGGCCAUCACUGACCAUCCGGCAGAGGUCAUCGGUCUCAGGAAAGAAGAUGGCCGGAGGAAUUGUAAAAUAUCUCUUACUGCUGAAGAACUGAGCCAGCUCCUGUCAUGCUGCUGACUAAGAUUCCCUCCCUUGAAGGUAAAGACUUUGAUGAUCCCACCAGGGC
rnacentral:lncRNA from 1 species